rnacentral:tRNA from 1 species
AAAAUGUGUUGUACAAAUAAAAGCUGCUAACUUAUUAUUUAAAUGGUUAAAAUCCAUUUACAUUUUA